ACCCCCUGGCAUUGGGCAAAGAGACACCUCAUGGGUGGUGGUGUUCUUGUAUCAGUCAGGGGCAGAGCAGAGGAGUCCUUUGUUCAUCCUAGCUUGAUGCCUGAGUUGGUGGCCUAAGCUGUUUCAUGCCUAGGGUACAUAA
rnacentral:snoRNA from 1 species